GACGAACGCUGGCGGCGUGCUUAACACAUGCAAGUCGAACGGAAAGGCCUUUUCGGAGGUACUCGAGUGGCGAACGGGUGAGUAACACGUGGGUGAUCUGCCCUGCACUCUGGGAUAAGCCUGGGAAACUGGGUCUAAUACCGGAUAGGACCGCACUUUAGUGUGUGUGGUGGAAAGUUUUUUCGGUGUAGGAUGAGCCCGCGGCCUAUCAGCUUGUUGGUGGGGUAAUGGCCUACCAAGGCGGCGACGGGUAGCCGGACUGAGAGGUUGGUCGGCCACAUUGGGACUGAGAUACGGCCCAGACUCCUACGGGAGGCAGCAGUGGGGAAUAUUGCACAAUGGGCGCAAGCCUGAUGCAGCGACGCCGCGUGGGGGAUGACGGCCUUCGGGUUGGAAACUCCAUUCGCCAGGGACGAAGCGUUUUGUGACGGUACCUGGAGAAGAAGCACCGGCUAACUACGUG
rnacentral:rRNA from 1 species